UUGAAGUUCAAGUUGGCACCGGGGUCAUCCAGUCCUGCUGAACAUCAUUGUUCCUUCAAGGCGAACAACCAUGGGACAUCUGCACAAAAAAUGAAGACUGAUUUUGCGUUAUUCUCAGUGAAGGUGACUUGGUCGACUUUGCCUCGGGGCUGUUAUGCUCAUUCCAGUUCAUCUGGACCUUAGAUCGACCUUGUCACAGAGUUGUGUCUGAUGAGCGGGCUAAGACUUACAAGUUUGGUUUGACGUAGUCUUAAGAUGGACUUGUGGCAACUAUCAAGCAAUCAAACACUUGACUAAUAUGACUGUCUAAAUUUAUAGUAUGUGGCAAACAAGGAUGGUAAAUCUAUAAUAGUAAUAAUAAGCAAAUAUUUGAACUGUUCACUUGCAUAUUUGGUUCAGCCAUCGUGCAUGCUUGUAUAAUUUGUUUUCUUUUGUUGUCGACAAAAACAGUUGGGAAGACCCCGUAGAGCAAAAAAUUCAAUUGCUUUGCUAGUGCUUAGUUUAGAUGUCUAGUCGGUAGUGGUGGGGUGAUGGAAUAAAAGUUCUCUCCAAUAUGUCAUUGUUCUGUCCUCAGUUUCGGUGAAGCUGAUUGUCAGUGGAUGCUGUAUGGAGCUUAGGUCAGUUCAGGUCUUGGCCACAUUUUUGUCUAUGUUUUGUCUAUAUGGACUUGGGCUGCGUUCGUCUGGCGACCUUUGUUGGGAAGGGAAGCCUUUGAGGUACUCCCUCCUUUCCCGUUUAUAGGGUUUAUCUCAAAAUUUUAGUUUUUUCAUUUUAUAAAGCUCAAUUUGGUUAUUUCCCAUCACAUGUUCAGAUUCCAAGGUGCAUUAAAUCAUUGCAUGCAAGUAUUGAGAGAAAAUUGAUCAAUGUAUGUACUUUAUGCAUGCAUGCAUUGCAAUUAAUGCAUUGAUAACAUAAUUUUUUGAGAAAAACAAGAACAUUAAUUAGGUACUUUUGCAAACUACAAAACGUAUUUCACCACUCACCAUCUACCUUGGUCGGUGAGAUUUUUGAAUUGAGCCUUAUAAACGAAAAGGAGGGAGUACCUACGUAACUCAUACCUCCAUCCCCAUGAGAGCUAGGGCGGCGCCAGAUGACCUCGUCGGUGGCGGCCGGACAGCGUGGCCAUGUUGUUAGAAUUGCAAAGUUGGGAUUACCGCUCGGGAUUGGAAAUUAAUGGACAAAUUAAGUGGGAGUUGGUGCUUUGAGAUUGUGACUGGGCUGGGCAUUCGGUUCCCCCGAAACGAACGGUUCGGUGCUUCGGUCCUUUUACAAUUUUGGUUCUUAGAAAAUGCUAACCGCUCGGGUAAUAGGAAAUCAACUGACCGACAAUUCGGUACCCCGAAAGUUCGGUUCGGCUAUCGGUUUUAACCCAAGGAAACCGAACAUGUUUAAUAGCAGGGCUUCCAGGUGAUGGAAGAAAGAAAAUUGACAGAAAAAAUGAGCGGUGGAAGAAAGGAAGAACGCAAAAACAAAUCUUCCUACCAGUAGCAUGCCUGUCGGUGAUAAGAGAGAUAAAGGGAAUGAACAACUCAAC
rnacentral:lncRNA from 1 species